rnacentral:lncRNA from 1 species
GCUCAGAUUGCUUCAUCCUCCACGUAGAUCAAUGAUUAUCAGUUAUUAAACAUUAAAUAUUAAAUAUUAAUUAUUAUCACCAUUGCUGCUACCACUCUCGUUACGAUCCAACGGCUCAGAUUUAACGUCGCCUCCAGGCUGUUGUAGCUGCAGAUCAUUAUACGGAUCCGACCCGACAUCCCUCCACCGUUUCAUCCCUAUUGUUACACCAAAUAAUCUAGGGUUCAUCAACUCAUCUGUACCACCUUCUAAACCACCAUUACUUCCACAGGUGGUGUUGCUGUUGCCUAUACACUCCUCUGCUAACCGCUUCAACGGUAACAGAUCUAGCGGUUCAAUCGUCUUCCUCACUUCCUGCUGUGAACUGCUUCCUUCAGACUGUUUAUCCCCAGCCUGAACGUUUUCUCUCCGUAACCGCUCGUUUUCGCCAACGAGCUCAGCGUUGUUACUUCCUCCUGAUGUUUCACGAGAAAGAAUAGGUGUACCACUACCACCUCGUGAUGAGUUAGAUGACAGGACUUGUUCUUCGCCGGAACCGCUAGGAGAAACCGCUCUGAUUGGCUGAGAUGCUACUGUGACAAUCGGUGUAGCUGUAACCGUCGGCGGUGGAGCUUGUGGUUGCGUCGGUGAAGCUGCUGCUGCUGAAAUCUUCCGACGUUGAAUAUCGCUUAACAGAUGCUUCUCUCCUCUACGGAAACAAUCGUUAGAGAACUCCCAGCGAUCAGGUAUUCAACUGACGGACAAAACUUGAGAAAUUAUUGUGUUUAAAGUAUUUCGGAAGCAAAUCCUUAGCGAAUUCUGUAGGAUUCCAGACGAUAAACGUAGAUCCGUCUUCGUUCCAGGAGAUGACGUCAUCAAUGGUCUUAUCUUCAACGAGCUGGUAAGUUUUCGUGAGAAACGGCGUCGGGAGAGAUCUAGCAGCCGCGUCACCAGCCGGUGAGUCCACGCCGCCGCUGCGGUGGUCUCCUGGAGGAGGAGCCAUCACGAGCUUCAAAAUACUAAAAAUGAAUCCAGAUUUCAAAGAAGAUAAUUAUUAUUAG